UACGUAGGGUGCAAGCGUUGUCCGGAAUUAUUGGGCGUAAAGGGCUCGUAGGCGGUCCAUCACGUCGGGAGUGAAAAGCUGGGGCUUAACCCCAGUCCUGCUUCCGAUACGGGUGGACUAGAGGUAGGCAGGGGAGAACGGAAUUCCUGGUGUAGCGGUGAAAUGCGCAGAUAUCAGGAGGAACACCGAUGGCGAAGGCAGGUCUCUGGGCCGGUACUGACGCUGAGACGCGAAAGCGUGGGAGCGAACAGG
rnacentral:rRNA from 1 species